UCAGGCUUAACCCCAUGGCCGAAAGAACCGAGUGAUGAAAUCUCGUUUUUGCUAAUUUUCUCUUUAUAAAUAGUAUCCAGCUAGUGAAAAAAGGGCAUGCCUUGGAAUCUUCAAGCCUUCUCUCCUAGCCUGUUCGAGAAAAUUGGUUUAUAGAACAAAAGAAGCUUGGACUGCUAACUAUAAGGUUUUCUUCUGGAAACUGUAAGUCAUGUAAGUUGAAAAAAAAAAUAUGUAUUUCAUGAGAAUGCCUGGCUGUCUUUUGAUGAGAUUCAUUGUUUGCCAUUUAUGCUUCUAGCAUUAUCAUUUGCAAGGUAGGCCUCAUUUACAAGAAAAUAGGAAUAAAUAAAUAUGACAACAUAUCGGGAAUAAAGAGAAUGAAAGCUGAAGGAUUAGGAACUUCAAAACUUGAAAACCCUGGAGAUUGUCGUGUAGAAUAGACCUUUUUCUUCUACAAUAUAGGUAGAAUAAAACAAUUGUUUUGCCAUGAUAGAUGGAUGUGAUGGUUUUUUGUCUUAAUUGGGAUAUUUCUUUUUCUAAUAAACUAAUAUCUUAAAAUUUGAUGCCAUAUAUUUAUUUGUUAAUAAACUUUAUUUUCAUACAUGCCACCAACAGUCAUGCAGAAUUUUUCUACAAAUUGCAAUUUAACUUUCAUGAUUGCUUCUCUACCGAUUGAGAUUUUAUACUUUAUAUAUAAAGAUUUAUAUACAUAUAAAGAUUCCUACGACUACGAGCUUCUCCUAUAAAGAUUUGGCAAAAGAAAGGAGGAGCAGAAAUCAGAAAGUAUUCAGAGGGGAAGAAUACACGGCCGUGAGUGUUAACAGAGAUAUACCUUUCCUCCAAAAACGAACAUUGUUCACCAAUACCUCACUACCGCACAACACGAAUCCCACCACAGUCCACUGCCUCGAUAAACCAUAUCUCCAUUUCUACCAGAGCAUCAUUGCAUCAGGAUCCUGUUGCCCUUGUUACUAUCCCAUUGCUAAAUCGAAAAGCAUCCCUAUAUCAACACCACGCUGCCACCGUCAGUCAGCCUAGAGCCACCAACGAUUUAGCCAAAACUCAAUCGAAACCAACCCAGCAGCCUAACAAAUAACCUCAGCUUUUCACUGUUACCCUCACCAUUACUAGACAAUUGAACCAUGCCAUUAAAGCCAAUAAUUCAUUCCCAAUAACUCGCAAACAGAAACCAAACCACAAUCCCAAAAAUCCAACAAGCAACUCGUGGGCCAAAGGAAAUAUGUCAAACUGUUCUACACCCCUGCAAUCACCAAUCACCGAUAACUUAGGCAGAGCUCUCACCACUAGAGCCUAGAAAACCCAAACCCAGAAAUUGAUCUACAACUCAAACACAGAGAGCAAGUAAACAGCAUAUCAAACAAAAAAAGAAAAGAAACUUUUUGCUGACUGUUGGAGGGUUUCGGAUAGAAGGAAAAUAGGGUUUCAUUUGGAUUUCGAGUUUAAGAGGUUUUUGGGCUCGAAAUUUAAGGGAAAGGGAGAUUCAAAGGUGAUGAGACAUAUAGUGGAAAAGGAAAACUUUUCAGUCACCGGAAUAAGGUGAAACCGAAGGUGAAGAGUCUCGAUUGUGGGAUAGGUCUGCGAAAAUUUAAAAGUAUCUUCAAAAUUCCAUUCCGUUAAAAAGAAUGAGGAGAUCCAACCGAUUUUAGAGAUGGUUUUCAAGUGGGCUAUGGUGCCAGUGGACGAUCGGUAGUGACGAUUGGCGACAGCCGACAGGCGAAGACCAACCGGAAUCAGGAUUGUGUGUGAAGUCGGUGGUUUCUGUUCAUCUGUGUUAUAUGAGAGGAGAGACCGAAAAUACAAGGGACUUGAAGUUGAGUUUU
rnacentral:lncRNA from 1 species